UACAGAGGGUGCGAGCGUUAAUCGGAAUUACUGGGCGUAAAGCGUGCGUAGACGGUUAUUUAAGUCGGGUGUGAAAGCCCCCGGGCUCAACCUGGGAAUUGCAUUCGAGACUGAAUAGCUAGGGUACGGUAGAGGGAAGUGGAAUUUCCGGUGUAGCGGUGAAAUGCGUAGAUAUCGGAAGGAACAUCAGUGGCGAAAGCGACUCCUGGACCAGUACCGACGUUCAGGCACGAAAGCGUGGGGAGCAAACAGGG
rnacentral:rRNA from 1 species